GGGGGAGGGUGAGGAGAGGGGGGGGAGUCAGGAUGGGCUGUCGCCCCGCCGCCACCGCCACCGGGGACCCGCCCGCCGGCUGAGAGGGGAAGGCAGAGAGACCCGGAGGAAGAGCCCGGCCCGCCGAGCCCACCGGCCGUCCCCUCCAGGCCUUGCCAACAUCCAGGAAUCUGAGCACAAAAGAAACCCGCACAAGCACGUUGCAGCCCAGUUUAGCCCAGUGGCAGAGGAGUUAAAAUGCCGGUGGAGGCUGCUGGCUUUCCGCAGGGACAGGGCUGGAGCAGAGAGAAGGACCAGAAGCAGGGGCCGAGGUUUCGCCGCGGCCGCAGCUCAGCCAAGCUGUUGUUUUAAAAGAGCAAUAAAAAUGAAUUAUGACUAAA